rnacentral:rRNA from 1 species
UACGGAGGGAGCUAGCGUUGUUCGGAUUUACUGGGCGUAAAGCGCAUGUAGGCGGAUCGAUCAGUCAGGGGUGAAAUCCCAGAGCUCAACUCUGGAACUGCCUUUGAUACUGUCGAUCUGGAGUAUGGAAGAGGUGAGUGGAAUUCCGAGUGUAGAGGUGAAAUUCGUAGAUAUUCGGAGGAACACCAGUGGCGAAGGCGGCUCACUGGUCCAUUACUGACGCUGAGGUGCGAAAGCGUGGGGAGCAAACAGG